CCCUGUCCUCAAGGUACUUCCAGUGGGUCAAUACUAGAGGCAGUGGUGUGCUGUCAGUGCUUAACAGCAGACUCCCUUGGAGGAAAAAAAGCCUUUGUUAUUGUGUUCCAUGGUGGUGUCAAUAUUCCUACUAUGGCCAAUUUCAAGUGACCAUGAUGACAUCACCAAAAGGCAAGUUGGGAAGAGAUACACCAGCAAGCAAGCUUGCUCUAGCACACUGCUGGCUGGAGGCAACGGGGAAGAAAAGGAAGUAGUUACCUGCAUGUCUGCAGGGCCUAUGGCCAUAAUAGAGAAAGUACUGGGAGUCAAAGAAAAACAGGGCAAACAACAAUAUCUGUUUUCCGCAGAGAAAAACUAGAGAGAAUGUUUCAGAGGGGACUGUGGGGCCUGGAGCCGGGAGGGCAGGCCAGAGGCAGGGGAGCUGAGUUGCUGUAUUCUGGGCACAAUUUCAAGGCCAGCUGCAGGGAGAACAAGCAGUCGCUGUGCGCCUGCAGCUGGCUGUGGUUAGGCCAGGGCUGUCCCUCACUUGUGGUAUAUUUAAAGAGACCUCACCAGAGGGCUGGAAUGAAGUGUGGCUCUCUACCAGAGAGCCUGAGUGCAAUGUUCCUUCUUCUCUUUUGAAGCUAUCUCCCCUCCUACUUUACUCUUAGCCCUUGUUGGAGGACCGUUGCUGCAGAAUGUGGCACUGAGCUUUUGUCUGUUUCAUCUUCUAUUGUACAAGAAUAUGGCAUCUGAGAGCUGAGAGGCUAGGGUUCAUGACUGGCUUUGCCACUCACUGGCUGGGCAUGGCUGAAAAAAGUCUUACUCAAUAUGGCACCCAUGGUGGGAGGCAGUGGGAGAAUGAAUAAAAAUAGUGCACUAUUCCAUAGUAAAAGGGUACAUGUAAAAUUACUACUCUAUACCAGGGCUCCAUGGUGGUUCUCUUCUAAGCCAUGGCAGCCUUCUCACGGUACAGCUUAGGAAACCGAGAUCAGUUCUUGGUGAUGCAGCUGGGAGGUAUGGAGCUGGAAUACAAACCCCGUCUUCCAGCCCAUACUCCUUUUUCCCUCAUCCAAAAAGAAAAAAGAAAGAAAGAAAAAACCCUCACAGUUUGGCUGCUUCUUAGCAAUCCUUUCUCCCUUUGAAGAGUUAUUCGUGGAAAGAAAAUCCCCUUCAGGCUGAUUUGGCGGAGGGUGGAGGGCAUGGAAUAAGCUUGCUCUUGGCAGUUAACGGAGAGCAAAGUCAAAUACUGGGACAAAAAGAAAUCCCUGCCUGGAGGGACGGGGAAAAGGCGGACAGGAAUGCUCACUCCUGAGGUUCUGUAGUGAUUCCUUAGCUGUGCUUUCCAGCAUUUACACAUCCAUCAGCCCUGGGAACUGGUAUCUGAA
rnacentral:lncRNA from 1 species